rnacentral:rRNA from 1 species
UACGGGGGGGGGCAAGCGUUGUUCGGAAUUACUGGGCGUAAAGGGCGCGUAGGCGGCCCGCUAAGUCGAACGUGAAAUCCCCGAGCUCAACUCGGGAACUGCGUCCGAUACUGGCGGGCUUGAAUCCGGGAGAGGGAUGCGGAAUUCCAGGUGUAGCGGUGAAAUGCGCAGAUAUCAGGAGGAACACCAAUGGCGAAGGCAGCUCGCUGGGACGGUACUGACGCUGAGACGCGAAAGCGUGGGGAGCAAACAGG